rnacentral:misc_RNA from 1 species
GUAAGGCAAGCAGUGAUUGGCAAAAGUCCCUGGAGCAGAACCAAGUCUCUCAGCAUUGCUCCCGUAGAGCACGCAUGGGGCCAUGCUACCUAGUAAACAAACUUCAAUAUCACUGCUGCAGAACUCAUCAGUCCUUCCAAAACAAGCACAAAGUCCAGAAUCCCACUGAGCCCUAUUCAUAAUCGGAUCAACGACAACUCCAUGACCCAUGGGGACCCCUUCAACUGUCCAUCCCAUCGGAACAACGGCUGAUAAAGGCUUCACCGGAUCCGCCGGAAACGGUGGAACUGGGGUUGUUGAAGAAAUGGGUUUAUUGGGAUUCUUCUCAUCUUUCACCUCAGAUUGUUGAUUGGGUAAAAGUGGGUUCGAUUCAUCGGUAUUUGCCAUUGGGAUUUUGAUGAAAUCAAGAAGAUUUUUGAGGAAUUUUGAAAGAUUGGUGAAGAAAUUUGUGCUAUGUAUAAUGCUGUGUAAAUACGUG